AGAGUUUGAUCCUGGCUCAGGAUGAACGCUGGCGGCGUGCUUAACACAUGCAAGUCGAACGAUGAUCCCCAGCUUGCUGGGGGGAUUAGUGGCGAACGGGUGAGUAACACGUGAGUAACCUGCCCUUAACUCUGGGAUAAGCCUGGGAAACUGGGUCUAAUACCGGAUAUGACUCCUCAUCGCAUGGUGGGGGGUGGAAAGCUUUUUUGUGGUUUUGGAUGGACUCGCGGCCUAUCAGCUUGUUGGUGAGGUAAUGGCUUACCAAGGCGACGACGGGUAGCCGGCCUGAGAGGGUGACCGGCCACACUGGGACUGAGACACGGCCCAGACUCCUACGGGAGGCAGCAGUGGGGAAUAUUGCACAAUGGGCGCAAGCCUGAUGCAGCGACGCCGCGUGAGGGAUGACGGCCUUCGGGUUGUAAACCUCUUUCAGUAGGGAA
rnacentral:rRNA from 1 species